rnacentral:rRNA from 1 species
CCUACGGGCGGCAGCAGUGAGGAAUAUUGGUCAAUGGACGAGAGUCUGAACCAGCCAAGUAGCGUGAAGGAUGACUGCCCUAUGGGUUGUAAACUUCUUUUAUAAAGGAAUAAAACGAGGCACGUGUGCCUUUUUGCAUGUACUUUAUGAAUAAGGAUCGGCUAACUCCGUGCCAGCAGCCGCGGUAAUACGGCGGAUCCGAGCGUUAUCCGGAUUUAUUGGGUUUAAAGGGAGCGUAGAUGGGUUGUUAAGUCAGUUGUGAAAGUUUGCGGCUCAACCGUAAAAUUGCAAUUGAUACUGGCAGUCUAGAGUACAGUUGAGGGAGGCGGAAUUCGUGGUGUAGCGGUGAAAUGCUUAGAUAUCACGAAGAACCCUGAUUGCGAAGGCAGCUUACUAAACUGUGACUGACAUUGAUGCUCGAAAGUGUGGGUAUCAAACAGGAUUAGAUACCCGAGUAGUC